AUCACAUUACCUGCAUGGAUGCCCUGGGCGAAGAGAUGGUGCUUCUGGCCUUCCUGAAGAACACUGGCUUUGAUGAUCUCCAAGGACCAGAUCCACAUGGGCACAGUUCAGUGGAAAUUACAUAAAUCCUUUAUAGAUCUGGGCCCAAGUAGCUAACAAGAAAAAAACCCAAGAAGGACCACUUCCAAGGCACAACGUGCUCACCCAAGCUCAUCUGCACACACGACGACUUCAGUAGUUCUGUGCCUUCUGUAGAGUUAAACUUCCUGUUGAAAAUCAAUAGCUCUAGCUCUUUGAAGAAGUUUCCCCAGCAUGACCCGUAACGCAGCCUUAGCACAGACCACACUGAGCAGUCCUGUCUGCCCAUGAAACACGUGACUGAGGUCUCAGGUGAACUCCGCCACCUCUUUCAAAAGUUAGCAUGUUCUCAACUGUUGAAGUGAGGGUAUCUAGCUGGGUUAUCCAACGUAUGAGCCUCAUCUCUCUCAGAAGGCUGGAUGGAUAUAAGACUGCUAAUUAAUAAAUAACUUAAAAAAAAAAAUCUCUCCUGAACAUAAAGCUUUCUCUCCAAGUCCAAAGAUGUUAACCUUUGUUUUAAUAUUACUAGCUUGAAUAGUACGUAACAGUAAGUAAAUCUAACA